AUAUAGUGCGAGAUAAAUGAAGGCGAGAGUAAACAAGAAAACACAGAACACACACAUAUUGAAGCUUUAACAAUUUUCACAGAAACUUCAAAAGAGCUUAAACGAGAAUGGGAACAGCUACUUUCAUAGAUAUUCUUCUUGCUAUCCUCUUGCCUCCUCUUGGCGUCUUUCUCAGAUAUGGUUGCGGGGUUGAGUUUUGGAUAUGUUUGGUAUUGACGCUGCUUGGGUAUCUUCCUGGGAUCCUCUACGCCCUUUAUGUCCUCACCAAAUGAUCAUGAACCUCCAUCUAUCCUCUCUUCAUGUAUCCUCAUCUCCUUGAACAACAGGCAUUUUGAACACGAUCUGGUCUAGUCUAUAAGCAUAUUAGUUAUGCCGGAUCCUUAGCAGCAGGCGGCAGACUACAACUACAUGAAAAAAAUUCAAUAGAAAAUGCAAAAAGUGAUCUUCCUCCAGAAUUAGAUCUGCCCGGUUCUACAACUUAACCAAGCUCCUGGUUUAUUUAAUUGGUUCAAUUAGUUUCUCUAAGAUUUGACAAAACAAAACUGAAAAUAUUGGGCCUAUGUUAGGCCUGCUGUAAUAGUUAAUUUAUUCGUCAAAACUAAAAACGUUGGGCCUAUAUUGGGCUUUCUGUAAUAGUUGAUCUAUUUUUCUAAUGGUCUAAAUUGAGUACCCCAUUGGAAAAGAAAAGACAACAUUGUGAAAAAAUGCAUAUCAAAUGCAAGUCGUCAAAAUAAUUAUGUUCUAUAAUUAAUUUACACAUAUCGGUUAUAUCACUUUUAAGUAAUAUAUAUUUUGUUUUAAAAAAAGAAGAAGAAGUAAUGAAUACUUUAACAAUCUGUCAUAUAUGUAUAUUGUCUUUACAGUCAUCAUCACCUUUUUUUUUUAACACAUCAGUCGUAGUCAUCCAUAUCACAUA